CAACCUUGCGAUCGUACUCCCCAGGUGGUUCACUUAAUGCUUUCGCUCAGCCGCCUACUGUGUAUCGCAGACAGCGAGUGAACAUCGUUUACGGCGUGGACUACCAGGGUAUCUAAUCCUGUUCGCUCCCCACGCUUUCGUGCCUCAGCGUCAAUAAUGGCUUAGUAAGCUGCCUUCGCAAUUGGCGUUCUGUGUCAUAUCUAUGCAUUUCACCGCUACACGACACAUUCCGCCUACCUCAACCAUAUUCAAGACUUGCAGUAUCAAUGGCAGUUCUACCGUUGAGCGGCAGUAUUUCACCACUGACUUACAAGCCCGCCUGCGCACCCUUUAAACCCAAUGAAUCCGGAUAACGCUUGCAUCCUCCGUAUUACCGCGGCUGCUGGCACGGAGUUAGCCGAUGCUUAUUCCUGCGCUACCGUCAACCACCUACACGUAGGUGGGUUUCUUGGCGCAGAAAAGCAGUUUACAACCCAUAGGGCCGUCAUCCUGCACGCGGGAUGGCUGGUUCAGACUCUCGUCCAUUGACCAAUAUUCCUCA
rnacentral:rRNA from 1 species